AGAAAGUAAGCAAGGGCAGACGGUGGAUGCCUUGGCUCUCGGAGGCGACGAAGGACGUGAUAAGCUGCGAAAAGCCCGGGGGAGGCGCAAAUAGCCCUUGAUCCCGGGAUAUCCGAAUGGGGCAACCCGGCAGGCUGAAGGCCUGCCAUCCCGUAAGGGAGGCGAACGUGGGGAACUGAAACAUCUAAGUACCCAUAGGAGGAGAAAAUAAACAAUGAUUCCGUAAGUAGUGGCGAGCGAACACGGAAGAGCCCAAACCCAUGUCGUCUAGGCGACACGGGGGUUGUAGGACCACGACGUGGCAAGAGGAUGGCAAGUGGAACGCCUUGGAAAGGGCGACCGUAGAGGGUGAUAGUCCCGUACACGACUGCCUGCCGAAGCCUAGUGGCAUCCUGAGUAGCGCGGGGCACGAGAAAUCUUGCGUGAAACAGCGGGGCCCAUCCCGUAAGGCUAAAUACUCCCGAGAGACCGAUAGCGAACCAGUACCGUGAGGGAAAGGUGAAAAGAACCCCGAGCAGGGGAGUGAAAUAGACCCUGAACCCGUCUGCCUACAAGCGGUCGGAGCAUAGCAAUAUGUGACGGCGUGCCUUUUGCAUAAUGAACCUACGAGUUACCUUCCCCGGCAAGGUUAAGUACCUAAGGUACGGAGCCGAAGCGAAAGCGAGUCUGAAGAGGGCGGCCAGUCGGGGGGGUAGACGCGAAACCGAGUGAUCUACCCUUGGCCAGGUUGAAGGUUGGGUAACACCAACUGGAGGACCGGAUGGGUAAGCGUUGAAAAGCUUUCCAAUGAGCUGAGGGUAGGGGUGAAAGGCUAAUCAAACUCGGAGAUAGCUCGUACUCCCCGAAAUGCAUUUAGGUGCAGCCUCUUUAUAGUAUAUCGUGAGGUAGAGCGACUGAUUGGAUGCGAGGGCUUCACCGCCUAUCAAGUCCAGAUAAACUCCGAAUGCGCGAUAUAUAUUUACAGGGAGUGAGGGCGCGGGUGCUAAGGUCCGUGUCCGAGAGGAGAAGAAUCCAGACCACCGGCUAAGGCCCCCAAAUGAUCGUUGAGUUGAACUAACGAGGUCGGAUCGCAGAGACAGCUAGGAUGUUGGCUUGGAAGCAGCCAUUCAUUUAAAGAGUGCGUAACAGCUCACUAGUCGAGCGAUCUGGCGUGGAUAAUAAUCGGGCAUAAACGAUCUGCCGAAGCCGUGGAUGUCGUAAGACAUGGUAGGGGAGCAUUCCAUGCGGCGUCGAAGAUGAGGGAUGACCCUUGUUGGAGCGCAUGGAAAAGCAAAUGUAGGUAUGAGUAACGAUAAGGGGGGCGAGAAACCCCCCCGCCGAAAGACCAAGGUUUCCUGAUCAACGCUAAUCGGAUCAGGGUGAGUCGGGACCUAAGGCAAAGCCGAACGGCGCCGCCGAUGGAAGAAUGGGUUAAUAUUCCCAUACUGCCUCAUGGAGUGACGUGGAGACGGAGAAGUGACAGUCCUGCCGGCUGACGGAAUAGCCGGUUGAAGGGUGUAGAUAUUGAUUCCCGUAGGCAAAUCCGCGGGGAGAGUCGAACCUGACAGUAUACCGAGUACUUGUACGAGGUAAUAUGGACGUAACCAUGCUCCCAAGAAAAUCCGCUAAACUUAUCCAUGCGGCACCCGUACCGUAAACGGACACACGUGGUCGGGUUGAGAAUACUGAGGCGCUCGAGUGACUCACGGUUAAGGAACUAGGCAAAUUGACCCUGUAACUUCGGGAUAAAGGGUCCUCGUCGUAAGGCGAGGCGCAGAGAAUAGGUCCAGGCAACUGUUUAACAAAAACACAUGGCUAUGCUAAAUGGAAACAUGACGUAUAUAGCCUGACACCUGCCCGGUGCUGGAAGGUUAAGAGGAGAUGUCAUCGCAAGAGAAGCGUUGAAUUGAAGCCCCAGUAAACGGCGGCCGUAACUAUAACGGUCCUAAGGUAGCGAAAUUCCUUGUCGGGUAAGUUCCGACCUGCACGAAUGGUGUAAUGAUCUGGACACUGUCUCAACCGUGAGCUCGGUGAAAUUGUAGUAUCGGUGAAGAUGCCGAUUACCCGCGAUGGGACGAAAAGACCCCGUGAACCUUUACUAUAGCUUUACAUUGAAUUUGGGCAGACGAUGUGUAGGAUAGGCCGGAGGCUUUGAAGGGGGUACGCCAGUAUCCUUGGAGCCGCCGUUGAAAUACGGCCCUUCGGUUGUUUGAGUUCUAACUCCUAGGCAGGAGGACACUGUAUGGUGGGUAGUUUGACUGGGGUGGUCGCCUCCAAAAGCGUAACGGAGGCUUCUAAAGGUGCCCUCAGACCGAUUGGUAACCGGUCGCAGAGUGUAAUGGCAUAAGGGCGCUUGACUGGGAGAGAUACAACUCGAUCAGGUAGGAAACUAGAGCAUAGUGAUCCGGUGGUUCCGCAUGGAAGGGCCAUCGCUCAAAGGAUAAAAGGUACUCCGGGGAUAACAGGCUGAUCAUUCCCAAGAGCUCAUAUCGACGGAAUGGUUUGGCACCUCGAUGUCGGCUCGUCACAUCCUGGGGCUGGAGAAGGUCCCAAGGGUUGGGCUGUUCGCCCAUUAAAGUGGCACGCGAGCUGGGUUCAGAACGUCGUGAGACAGUUCGGUCUCUAUCUAUCGUGGGCGCAGGAGAUUUGAGGGGCUCUGACACUAGUACGAGAGGACCGUGUUGGACGUACCACUGGUUUACCGGUUGUCCCGCCAGGGGCACCGCCGGGUAUCUAAGUACGGAUCGGAUAAGUGCUGAAAGCAUCUAAGUACGAAGCCGGCCUCAAGAUUAGAUCUCCCUCAAGGGUGGUUAUAGACGAUGACCUUGAUAGGCCACAGGUGUAAGGGCGGCGACGUCCGAGCCGAGUGGUACUAAUAGCCCGGGACUUUCCUCA
rnacentral:rRNA from 1 species